CAAUAGCGUAUAUUAAUGUUGUUGCAGUUAAAAAGCUCGUAGUUGGAUUUCUGGUGGGAGCGGUUGGUCUGCCCCGCGAGGGGUAGUUACUGAGCCGUAUCCGGCCCUUUUCGGGUUGACCGUGGCUGGCAUUAGUUUGUCGGUGCGGGAGGCCCGUCGUUUACUGUGAACAAAUUAGAGUGUUCAAAGCAGGGUGUUCUUGAAUACAUUAGCAUGGAAUAAUGAGAUAGGACUUUGGUGGUUCUCACUUUAUGGUGGGAUAUUUUGUUGGUUUGCACGCCAAAGUAAUGAUUAAUAGGAGCAGUUGGGGGUAUUCGUAUUCAAUUGUCAGAGGUGAAAUUCUUGGAUUUCUAGAAGACGAACUACUGCGAAAGCAUUUACCAAGGAUGUUUUCAUUAA
rnacentral:rRNA from 1 species